rnacentral:rRNA from 1 species
GACGAACCGUGCGAACGUUGUUCGGAUUCACUGGGCGUAAAGGGCGCGUAGGCGGCCGGUUGCGUCGGAUGUGAAAGCCCGGGGCUCAACCCCGGAACGGCAUCCGAUACGGGCUGGCUUGAGACCGAGAGAGGUGAGUGGAAUACCCAGUGUAGAGGUGAAAUUCGUAGAUAUUGGGUGGAACACCGGUGGCGAAAGCGGCUCACUGGCUCGGUUCUGACGCUGAGGCGCGAAAGCGUGGGGAGCAAACAGG